UCGGAUUUAUUAACGGCAGUGAAGGCAAACCCUGCAAAUUACUAACAUUUCUCUGUACUUCGUGCGAGGCGUCCGUUAAGUCAACAUAUUCAGUCAAAUCAACUGAUGUGUCAGUUGGUAUGAGGAGACAAAGAGGCACCGUCGACCCGUUUUGGUACGCAGAAGCAAUCACGUCACAGACAUCGGAUCUGUGUUCAUUACGCAGUGUAGUAAAUAUGUCAGUUUGAUGUAAUGCAUUAUUAGAACGUGAAUUAAAUUGACUGUUAUUGGAA